CCUACGGGAGGCAGCAGUGAGGAAUAUUGGUCAAUGGACGAGAGUCUGAACCAGCCAAGUAGCGUGAAGGAUGACUGCCCUAUGGGUUGUAAACUUCUUUUAUAUGGGAAUAAAACGUUCCACGUGUGGGAUUUUGUAUGUACCAUAUGAAUAAGGAUCGUCUAACUCCGUGCCAGCAGCCGCGGUAAUACGGAGGAUCCGAGCGUUAUCCGGAUUUAUUGGGUUUAAAGGGAGCGUAGGUGGAUUGUUAAGUCAGUUGUGAAAGUGUGCGGCUCAACCGUAAAAUUGCAGUUGAAACUGGCAGUCUUGAGUACAGUAGAGGUGGGCGGAAUUCGUGGUGUAGCGGUGAAAUGCUUAGAUAUCACGAAGAACUCCGAUUGCGAAGGCAGUUCACUGGACUGCAACUGACACUGAGGCUCGAAAGUGUGGGUAUCAAACAGGAUUAGAUACCCUAGUAGUC
rnacentral:rRNA from 1 species